AUUGAACGCCGGCGGCAGGCCUAACACAUGCAAGUCGAACGAGUGGCGGACGGGUGAGUAAUGUCUGGGAAACUGCCUGAUGGAGGGGGAUAACUACUGGACACGGUAGCUAAUACCGCCUACCAUCGGAUGUGCCCAGAUGGGAUUAGCUAGUAGGUGGGGUAAAGGCUCACCUAGGCGACGAUCCCUAGCUGGUCUGAGAGGAUGACCAGCAACACUGGAACUGAGACACGGUCCAGACGCCGACGGGAGGCAGCAGUGGGUAAUAUUGCACAAUGGGGGCAAGUCUGAUGAAGCCAUGCCGCGUGUAUGAAGAAGGCCUUCGGGUUGUAAAGUACUUGCAGCGGGGAGGAGUUACCCGCAGAAGAAGCACCGGCUAACUCCGUGCCAGCAGCCGCGGUAAUGC
rnacentral:rRNA from 1 species